rnacentral:rRNA from 1 species
GAUGAACGCUGGCGGCGUGCCUAACACAUGCAAGUCGAGCGAAUCCUUCGGGGUGAGCGGCGGACGGGUGAGUAACGCGUGGGUAACCUGCCCUGUACACACGGAUAACAUACCGAAAGGUAUGCUAAUACGGGAUAACAUAUGAGAGUCGCAUGGCUUUUGUAUCAAAGCUCCGGCGGUACAGGAUGGACCCGCGUCUGAUUAGCUAGUUGGUAAGGUAACGGCUUACCAAGGCAACGAUCAGUAGCCGACCUGAGAGGGUGAUCGGCCACAUUGGAACUGAGACACGGUCCAAACUCCUACGGGAGGCAGCAGUGGGGAAUAUUGCACAAUGGGCGAAAGCCUGAUGCAGCAACGCCGCGUGAGCGAUGAAGGCCUUCGGGUCGUAAAGCUCUGUCCUCAAGGAAGAUAAUGACGGUACUUGAGGAGGAAGCCCCGGCUAACUACGUGCCAGCAGCCGCGGUAAUACGUAGGGGGCUAGCGUUAUCCGGAAUUACUGGGCGUAAAGGGUGCGUAGGCGGUCUUUCAAGCCAGAAGUGAAAGGCUACGGCUCAACCGUAGUAAGCUUUUGGAACUGUAGGACUUGAGUGCAGGAGAGGAGAGUGGAAUUCCUAGUGUAGCGGUGAAAUGCGUAGAUAUUAGGAGGAACACCAGUAGCGAAGGCGGCUCUCUGGACUGUAACUGACGCUGAGGCACGAAAGCGUGGGGAGCAAACAGG